rnacentral:rRNA from 1 species
UACGUAGGGGGCAAGCGUUGUCCGGAUUUAUUGGGCGUAAAGCGCUCGCAGGUGGUUCGUUGCGUCGUGCGUGAAAGACCCCGGCUCAACUGGGGGGUGUCGUGCGAUACGGGCGGACUGGAGGCCAGUAGGGGGAUGCGGAAUUCCGGGUGUAGUGGUGGAAUGCGUAGAGAUCCGGAGGAACACCAGCGGCGAGGGCGGCAUCCUGGACUGGUCCUGACACUCAUGAGCGAAAGCGUGGGGAGCGAUCCGG